AUCUUCAUCCCUUCCUUCCUUUUAAUUAAUGUCUAAGUUAUCUUUUUGCUUGAGUUUCCUUCUGGUGUGUUUGUGGUGCCCGGCUCUCCUCACUAGUUUGCUUUGCCACUGUAUAAUUGUCAGUCCCAGCCAGGCGCCUCUUCCAUGUAAAGAUAUCGGCAGCUUCAAGCCUUGCCAAUAUCUCAACCCGUACCUGAAUGUGAAUUAACCGAAAUUCCUGUAAAUGUCUGCACGGUGCUCUCUCUCAUAAUGCUUCUUUAAAUUUUCAGUCUCGGUCACCUUACGGGAUUAGUACUAGAUUUUGCCAUGAGUUCACUUCCCCGUGAUGGCCAGUUUCAUGCACUAUAUAUAAGUAAUUUGCCUUUUGCAUGGCUAUAAUUCAGCACCCGUGUCUAAAUGUUCCCUUUUCUUAUAUGCUUCUCUGUUUUGCAGGAUGCCGCGGCCGGACCAAGAGGAGGACUCAUCGCGAUGACACCAACGGUUUGGUUAAGUGGGUUCUUUAGUGUGUGCGUUUGUGUGUGAAUGGCAGGCCUGCCGUAUGAUUGUGUCUCUUGUGUGUGUGUGCGGGGCGGUUUGCCCUCGCGCUAGGAUUUUGUUAGGAUGUACAUUUUUGUGUGUGAACUUUUUGCACGUAAUCUUUUUUUAAAUCCAUAGCUAGCGUUUGUGUGUGUAGCUGUGUUCCGGGAGAUGGACGCCGGGGGACAUGGGUCGGGGGCGACACACGUGACCUCUUCCGUCCGUGACCUCUUCAGUCGGAGAGACCUCGUGUUGCCCCGGCUGGAGAGACACGUUGAUGGAGGCGGCUGCGUGUGUCAUCCCUUGCCUGUAUCCUCUGGCGUCCAGAGGCGCGUAAGUGGAGAGCAUCGGCGCAGCGCGGGAGCAGCACGUCAGGGUGUAGGGUGUUUGUUUAGCUGGUGUAGGGUGUUAGGGUGUUAGGUGUAACAACGGUUGGCUCUUUCACAGAACGGGUGUGAUUCCGUUCUGCGUUUGAGUCUUCCACCUUCAGACGGUCUCCCUCCGAGAUGUCUGAAGUUUUUUUGUCGGUUUUCUCCGUAGGAGGAAGCCGACUCUAGCUACUCUGGCCUCUCUUCCGGGGGUCAGAGCGGUCGGGCUCUGCUUGGCCAGGCGUUGCCUUUCGCGUUGUCUCCGCCGAAGUUUUGCCAGACUCUUCCGUAAGGUUGAGCCUGGCUUUUUUAUUAGGUGGAUCAGGCUGCCUUCUUCCAAGGAGUCUGAUGGGAGUGGAGUCUUUUUUUUGGUGUAUGUCUGUGGGUACUUAGUGGGUAAGGGAGGGUGGGGUAGAAUGGUUGGUGGGCUGGAAGUGGGUUGGGGGAUGAGUCUCCUGGGAUUUGGGUUGUGUCGAGCCUUACCGCCUGGUGUGUUGGGUAACCUUCACGCCAGGGGGGGGGUGCCAAGACUAUAUCCAUCUCCUGGGCAGGGCGAUUCCCCUUUCCCAUGCUAACUGGCCCUCCUCCGUCUGCCUCCCCAAACCCCCGCUAAGUGCUUGUGUGUGUUAUUUUAUUUAGGAUGUCUUUUUUUUCGAUGCCUUUUUCCCGUGUGUUUAUACCCAAUAGCUAGCGUGUGUGUGUGUGGCAGUCCGGAGGCGCGUGCAGCGAGGACAUCACAUCACGUCACUACGGUAUAUCCACGGUAUUUGGUUUAGUGUGUGCUGUGUGUGUUUGUGUGUGUGAUGGCAGGCCUGCCGUGUGUUUGACCUUUUGCUGUGUGUUGCUGUGUGACUGCUAGGAUUUCAUUUCUAUGUAUGUUUUUUUCCCCAUAACCCCCUUCCUCCCUAGCUCUUUAGCUGUUGUCCCUGGCGAGGCGCUGGGUGGAUGCUGCCGGGCGACCAACGGCGGUGGCGGUGUGCAACGCGGGAGCUGCUGAGGUUUGGGGUAGCACUACGGUGCAGGUUAUGUAGGGUGUGUGAGUUUUUUUUUUGUGUGAGUGUCUUUUUUUUGUGUGGGGUGUUGGCGGGGGACUUAGCUAAUCACUGUGUCAGGAAGGCAUGGGCGUGGCCGUCUGUCCAUCAGGCCGACGGGCGGGUGUGCCACCUGGCAGUCAGGCUAGCAGGUGACAGGCAAGCUAUCUGGUGGUCAGGCUGUCAGUCGGGCCAUCAGAUAGGUAGGCAGGCCACCUUGCGGUCGGGUUGUCGGGCGGGCACUCCACCCUCGGUCAGGUAGGCAGGCAGCAGCGUCUACGCUGAGCCGUACGGCUACACGUACGAACGCACGGAACCCGUACGCUACGUUCCGCUGCACUGACGCUCGUCGUACCUCUGCUCGCACGCUUGCGGGCGGGUUGGGGGCGGGGGGCGGAUGGGCGGACGGGCGGGCGUACGUGGGAACGGGCGGGCGGACGGGUGGUCGGGCGGUUAGGGAGUCGGAGCAACGCUUGAAAGACGCGCAGAUAGAUGUCAGAUUCUCCCGUAGGGAGGUCUGGCAAGGUGAUAGUGUGGGCGGCGGGGUUUUACGCGGGUGAGUCCGUGUUAGAGCUUUGCUGCCAGGGUAGCUCCUUCCGAGCUGCCUGAACUGAGGACCAGUUUUCCUCACAGGAGGAGGCUGGUGGAGUCUAGGGUGUUAGGGGUAUAACGGUUGGCUCUUUCACAGAACGGGUGUGAUUCCGUUCUGCGUUUGAGUCUGCUGCCUUUGGGCAUCUCCCUCCGAGAUGUCGGUUAGGAUUUCUUUUUUUUAUAUGUCCGUGUGUGUAACUGUUGCCUUUUAGCCUGUUGUGUUCCUGAGCAGCAAGAAGAGGAGGCUGUGGUGACCCGCCCGAUGCGGAAGGCUUCUGGGCUCUCUCGGCGGGGGCGCACCUCUCUGGCUGACUGGUUAAGGGAGGGCUUCCCGUCUGGCCGGCUGUAGGUUCGGUCCCAGGAUUGAACCCAUGGCUUGCCAGAUGGAGGGCUGCGCCUUUGACCAGGUGGCCGGGGAGGCGCCUCCUCGCUGGGCAGGGUCUGGGGGCCCUCCGUUUUGGGGAGGUCGCUGCAGCAGGAGGAGGUAAUUAGGCGCUGGUUUUGUAAGGCAUUGUGGUUGAGAGCACCUUGCAGCUGUGACGCGAAUUUCGUUCCGUAAUAAACAAUGUACCGCCAUGAUGCCUGUCCUUCCUCCCUCCCAGCACUGUGUACGUCUGUGUGUGUGUGGCUUAAUUCUCCCUCCCAGCACUGUGUACGUCUGUGUGUGUGUGGCUUAAUUCUCCCUCCCAGCACUGUGCGUACGUCUGUGUGUGUGUGGCUUAAUUCUCCCUCCCAGCACUGUGUACGUCUGUGUGUGUGUGGCUUAAUUCUCCCUCCCAGCACUGUGCGUACGUCUGUGUGUGUGUGGCUUAAUUCUCCCUCCCAGCACUGUGUACGUCUGUGUGUGUGUGGCUUAAUUCUCCCUCCCAGCACUGUGUACGUCUGUGUGCGUGUGGCUUAAUUCUCCCUCCCAGCACUGUGUACGUCUGUGUGUGUGUUGCUUAAUUCUCCCUCCCAGCACUGUGCGUACGUCUGUGUGUGUGUUGCUUAAUUCUCCCUCUUUUUUGACAAAGAUAAAAAAAACUGCGGAUUUGCCGUUAUCACUUUGUAUGUGGGCUUUUUUUUCUUUUCUCUCUGUCUCUGUUUAUCUGUCUAUCUGUCUGUCUCUCUAUCUCUCAAUCUCUGUCUCUGUCUGUCUCUGUUUAUCUGUCUAUCUGUCUGUCUCUCUAUCUCUCAAUCUCUCUGUCUCUGUCUGUCUCUGUUUAUCUGUCUAUCUGUCUGUCUCUCUAUCUCUCAAUCUCUCUGUCUCUGUCUCUCUCUGUUUCUCUGUCUCUCAAUCUCUCUCUCUAGUUAAUAAAGAACAGAUAACGAUUGCCAUGGAAGACUCUACAGUAUACAAAAGACUCUACAGUAUACAAAAGACUCUACAGUAUACAAGACUCUACAGUAUACAGAAGACUCUACAGUAUACAUCCCUUCCCUCUACGGCCGCUGCUGCUCUACCCGGGCAUUGCCACAUCCACUCGGGUAUACAAGAAACCAUCGCGGCCGAGCUUCAACCACAGAACACACUGUUGCCGUUGAUGAGGUUCCACGCCCCGCUCCACCGCCAUGUUAGCCUUGAUAAUAAUCCUCGGCGCACUUAUUCUGAGACGUCGCAGUGAUCUGGAGAACUACACAACACUGGUCCUUCGCUGAGUGGUUGAUUUCCUGGUCUACCGUUCCUAUGGAGGGGAGGACUCGCACAUGCAAUAAGCACCUGUCUGACCUGGAGACUUCCCCCUGAGCCUGACGGUGGAUCUGUGGGCCCUGCAGCAGACCCCCACACACACCCCACACCACCCACAGCAGGGGCAGGACCUGGAGACUCCCCCCUGAGCCUGAUGGUGGAGCUGUGGGCCCUGCACCAGACCCCCACACACACCCACA